UGUGGGGUUUACAGAGAAUGGUCUGAAAAACAGAAAAUAGCAGCAAUUCUCUGUAUAUUAACAAUUAUGUACACACGCCCACCGAUGUAGGUCAUGAAGCAGAAAAUAAUCUGAUAGGAGCUCAGACCCUGCCCCUGCUUCAGCUCAGCACAUAAAAAGGAGCAGCGGGAGACCCCUGCAUCUGUAGAUCUGGUUUCAUCGCUCAAAUCUGCAGUUUCUUCUGGUAAAGUAGCAAAAUGUACGGACACAAUGAAGAUAAACAUGAUGGACACGGGCACGGACACGGGCACGGGCACGGACACGCACAUGGCCACGGACACGGACACGCACAUGGCCACGGACAUGGCCACUAAAAGGAAAGGACAGCCAUGGGCAGUUCCUGCAGCAGCGACUCCGACUAGAUGAACAGUGUUCGACGUGAACCUGGAGACCUUCAUGCUCCUGUCUUAUCAUUUGACUGCCUGCAGUUUCUUUACAAACAGAUUUAAUUAAGAAUUAACAGAGCUGACAAAGUUAUUUUAGAUCAUUGUGAACCUUUACAGACAUGAUUUUAUCCAGUGUUUGUCAGAAAAUAAAUAAAAGUGAUGAAAGUGUCAUCUUUAUGACAUUUUAUCCCAUCUUCCUGUUUUUUAUUAAUUUGUUUGGUCAUAUAUCCACACUAGGAUCUUUAUUUAUCCAGGCAAAAUUGACUGAACUCAUCCAGUCAACUCCCAGCAGCACAUCACACCCUGAAACUGCCUCUGCUGUGACCCUGAUCCCAUGAUAGUGUGUGCAUUUCAACUGUUUACAUAGUUACACUGAGCCACCAACUCUGAUUUUCACAUUUAUAAAAUUAAUAGAAACCUG